GCGACGGCACCAUGUCACGCGUCCACCUUCUCGUCCUCGCGCUCCUCGCGUCGUGCACAUCCUCCGUGCACGCCGCGAGAUUCUCCAUCGGCCACCCGCUCGCGUCCCUCCGCUCUCACGAGGUCGAGAGGGACAUCGAGUCGAAUGGUGACGCGACCGGCGAAACGCUGUCCGCGCGCCAAGUCGAGGAGCACCGCCCCGCGUUCGAGUCCUUCCUGGACACGUUCCCGGAGAAGCGCGAGGCGUACGCCGACGCGGCGAAGUACGCCGAGCGUCUCGAGAUCUUCGCCCGGAA
rnacentral:lncRNA from 1 species